AGCGAACGCUGGCGGCAGGCCUAACACAUGCAAGUCGAACGGACCCUUCGGGGUUAGUGGCGGACGGGUGAGUAACACGUGGGAACGUGCCUUUAGGUUCGGAAUAAGCCCGGGAAACUGGGUCUAAUACCGAAUGUGCCCUUCGGGGGAAAGAUUUAUCGCCUUUAGAGCGGCCCGCGUCUGAUUAGCUAGUUGGUGAGGUAAUGGCUCACCAAGGCGACGAUCAGUAGCUGGUCUGAGAGGAUGAUCAGCCACACUGGGACUGAGACACGGCCCAGACUCCUACGGGAGGCAGCAGUGGGGAAUCUUGCGCAAUGGGCGAAAGCCUGACGCAGCCAUGCCGCGUGAAUGAUGAAGGUCUUAGGAUUGUAAAAUUCUUUCACCGGGGACGAUAAUGACGGUACCCGGAGAAGAAGCCCCGGCUAACUUCGUGCCAGCAGCCGCCGUAAGAC
rnacentral:rRNA from 1 species